GGCAAGGUGGCCGAGUGGUCUAAGGCGCAUGGUUCAGGUUCCAAUCUGAUCAGGAAAAGUAUUACAACUUUCCAUGUCAUUAAUUUGGCGUGGGUUCGAAUCCCACCCUUGUCA
rnacentral:tRNA from 1 species